CCCUGUAUCGAAAGUGACACCGGCGUGCUUGUCGCCGGCGUCAUCGAUAGUACAGGAAGAGGAAAAUGCCAGCCUUUCCCGUGUCUGCAAGACCGCCAAUUCCUGUCAGACCCUGGCGCUCGCCGACA